AACGAACGCUGGCGGCAUGCCUAACACAUGCCAGUCGAACGAGACCUUCGGGUCUAGUGGCGCACGGGUGCGUAACGCGUGGGAACCUGCCCUUAGGUUCGGAAUAACUCCCCGAAAGGGGUGCUAAUACCGGAUAAUGUCUUCGGACCAAAGAUUUAUCGCCUUUGGAUGGGCCCGCGUUGGAUUAGCUAGUUGGUAGGGUAAAAGCCUACCAAGGCGACGAUCCAUAGCUGGUCUGAGAGGAUGAUCAGCCACACUGGGACUGAGACACGGCCCAGACUCCUACGGGAGGCAGCAGUGGGGAAUAUUGGAAAUGGGCGAAAGCCUGAUCCAGCAAUGCCGCGUGAGUGAUGAAGGCCUUAGGGUUGUAAAGCUCUUUUACCCGGGAUGAUAAUGACAGUACCGGGAGAAUAAGCUCCGGCUAACUCCGUG
rnacentral:rRNA from 1 species